rnacentral:rRNA from 1 species
UGCAGUCGACGAUGAACCUGGAGCUUGCUCUGGGGGAUUAGUGGCGAACGGGUGAGUAACACGUGAGCAACCUGCCCCUCACUCUGGGAUAAGCGCUGGAAACGGCGUCUAAUACUGGAUACGAGUCGCAACCGCAUGGUUAGUGACUGGAAAGAUUUUUUGGUGGGGGAUGGGCUCGCGGCCUAUCAGCUUGUUGGUGAGGUAAUGGCUCACCAAGGCGUCGACGGGUAGCCGGCCUGAGAGGGUGACCGGCCACACUGGGACUGAGACACGGCCCAGACUCCUACGGGAGGCAGCAGUGGGGAAUAUUGCACAAUGGGCGGAAGCCUGAUGCAGCAACGCCGCGUGAGGGAUGACGGCCUUCGGGUUGUAAACCUCUUUUAGCAGGGAAGAAGCGAAAGUGACGGUACCUGCAGAAAAAGCACCGGCUAACUACGUGCCAGCAGCCGCGGUAAUACGUAGGGUGCAAGCGUUAUCCGGAAUUAUUGGGCGUAAAGAGCUCGUAGGCGGUUUGUCGCGUCUGCUGUGAAAUCCCGAGGCUCAACCUCGGGCCUGCAGUGGGUACGGGCAGACUAGAGUGCGGUAGGGGAGAUUGGAAUU